rnacentral:rRNA from 1 species
GACGAACGCUGGCGGCGUGCUUAACACAUGCAAGUCGAACGAUGAAGCUGGAGCUUGCUCCAGUGGAUUAGUGGCGAACGGGUGAGUAACACGUGAGCAAUCUGCCCUUGACUCUGGGAUAACUGCGGGAAACUGUAGCUAAUACCGGAUACGACACCUUGGGGCAUCCCGGGGUGUGGAAAGAAUUUCGGUUAAGGAUGAGCUCGCGGCCUAUCAACUUGUUGGUGAGGUAAAGGCCCAACAAGGCGACGACGGGUAGCCGGCCUGGGAGGGUGACCGGCCGCACUGGAGCUGGGACCCGGUCGGGACACCUACGGGAGGCAGCAGUGGGGAAUAUUGCACAAGGGGCGGAAGCCUGAUGCAGCAGAGCCGCGUGAGGGAUGACGGCCUUCGGGUUGUAAACCUCUUUUCGCAGGGAAGAAGCGAAAGUGACGGUACCUGCAGAAAAAGCACCGGCUAACUACGUGCCAGCCGCCGCCGUAA